GUCCUGUGGCGCAGUGGUAGCGCGCCGUUCUUAUAAUGCGGAUGCCGUGGGUUCGAAGUAGGUUUCUCCCGCAAGAAAUCA
rnacentral:tRNA from 2 species